UACAGAGGUCCCAAGCGUUGUUCGGAUUCACUGGGCGUAAAGGGCGCGCAGGCGGCCACGCACGUCCGUUGUGAAAUCGCUCGGCUCAACUGGGCGGGGUCAGCGGAUACGGCGUGGCUGGAGCAAGCUAGGGGGCAAUGGAAUUCCCGGUGUAGUGGUGGAAUGCGUAGAUAUCGGGAGGAACACCAGUGGCGAAGGCGGUUGCCUGGAGCUUUGCUGACGCUGAGGCGCGAAAGCGUGGGGAGCGAUCCGG
rnacentral:rRNA from 1 species